GGAAAGUGGGUGGGAUAUUUCUUUCCCUAGCCAUACACGUAUCCACCACAAUUUCCACUUCCCUCAUCUGAUUUUUCUGCCCCAAAAGUCAUCACACUUUUCUUAUUUUCUUGGCUGCAUCAGAUCAGAAGUCCAGCCCCUCUUUCUCUACUCCUUUUUCCUCUUUCUUUGUUCUUCUUUCUCUCUUCUUUUGUUGCUUCUACACGGCAGCUCUCCCUCUCUCACCAACACAAUAUAUUCCUCUCUAAAGAAGAAAUUAAACAAUUAACCCUAAGGUUUCAGCUUCAAAUUGUUGUGGGGGUUACCAGUAUCCAAGUCAAAGCUCCUUCGACUUUAGGCUCUCGGUUCCUCUGCUUCCAGUUAACAGGUUUUAUUUUGGAGCAGAGGGAGCCUUAGUCGAGUUUGGAAGGAGCUGGUUUUAGUUUUAUAUGUAUAGAUCCUAAAUUAGCAUUCUGACGUUUAGCUUUAUAGUUAUUGUGUAUUUUAGGAUCAAAUGAAAGUUGUGUAUACCAUAAAGUAUCAAGCGAUGUAUUAUGUAAAAGUGUAGAAAUUAAAUGAUU